GACGUAGGAUGCAAGCGUUGUCCGGAUUUAUUGGGCGUAAAGAGUUCGUAGGUGGUUUGUUAAGUCUGAUGUUAAAGACUGGGGCUCAACCUCGGAAAUGCAUUGGAUACUGGCAGACUUGAGUGUGGUAGAGGCAAUCGGAAAUUCCAGGUGUAGCGGUGAAAUGCGUAGAUAUCUGGAAGAACACCGGUGGCGCAAGCGGAUUGCUGGGCCAUAACUGACACUGAGGAACGAAAGCUAGGGGAGCAAAUGGG
rnacentral:rRNA from 1 species